UGCUUAACACAUGCAAGUCGAACGGUGAACACGGAGCUUGCUCUGUGGGAUCAGUGGCGAACGGGUGAGUAACACGUGAGCAACCUGCCCCUGACUCUGGGAUAAGCGCUGGAAACGGCGUCUAAUACUGGAUAUGUGACGUGACCGCAUGGUCUGCGUUUGGAAAGAUUUUUCGGUUGGGGAGGGGCUCGCGGCCUAUCAGCUUGUUGGUGAGGUAAUGGCUCACCAAGGCGUCGACGGGUAGCCGGCCUGAGAGGGUGACCGGCCACACUGGGACUGAGACACGGCCCAGACUCCUACGGGAGGCAGCAGUGGGGAAUAUUGCACAAUGGGCGAAAGCCUGAUGCAGCAACGCCGCGUGAGGGAUGACGGCCUUCGGGUUGUAAACCUCUUUUAGCAGGGAAGAAGCGAAAGUGACGGUACCUGCAGAAAAAGCGCCGGCUAACUACGUGCCAGCAGCCGCGGUAAUACGUAGGGCGCAAGCGUUAUCCGGAAUUAUUGGGCGUAAAGAGCUCGUAGGCGGUUUGUCGCGUCUGCUGUGAAAUCCCGAGGCUCAACCUCGGGCCUGCAGUGGGUACGGGCAGACUAGAGUGCGGUAGGGGAGAUUGGAAUUCCUGGUGUAGCGGUGGAAUGCGCAGAUAUCAGGAGGAACACCGAUGGCGAAGGCAGAUCUCUGGGCCGUAACUGACGCUGAGGAGCGAAAGGGUGGGGAGCAAACAGGCUUAGAUACCCUGGUAGUCCACCCCGUAAACGUUGGGAACUAGUUGUGGGGUCCAUUCCACGGAUUCCGUGACGCAGCUAACGCAUUAAGUUCCCCGCCUGGGGAGUACGGCCGCAAGGCUAAAACUCAAAGGAAUUGACGGGGACCCGCACAAGCGGCGGAGCAUGCGGAUUAAUUCG
rnacentral:rRNA from 1 species